UACAUGAGCCAUCUUUAAUCCCAUUCUGGUAGAAAGGCAGGGUAUAAAUUCAAUGAAUAAAUAACUUAUUAGAAGCUGCAAUCAUUUGCUUUUGCCUAGGCCUCUUAAAACGGGAAAGAUUCGACCCCUACCUCCACUCUCCUCCCUGUGAUAACUGAAUACAGCUUCCUGCCAUGAAGAUCCUGUAUAUUUUCUCCAUGAUUCUAUUCUUAUCACUUAUGACUGCUCCAGGAUAUUCACAUUAUUUUCAUGAUGAUGACAAGUGUAUAAGUGUAGGGGGCAAAUGCAGGCAUUUACCAUGCUACCCCUUAAGAGAGAUUGGCCACUGUCUCCUUAAUACUUAUUGCUGCCAAGAUUUGAGAUGAAAUGGGUCACGCUCCCUUCUCAGAUCCUGGAUCCUUACAUCUGCUGGAAAGAGCAGAAGCAAGUAUACCUCUUGGGAAUCUUCAGUUAUUUGUUACUAUCACUUCUCCAUUGCAUCCACCAUUGCCCAUCUCCAUCACCUCAAAACCUGCAGCCCCUGAAGAAGAAAAGAAAAGAAAGUCCCGAUAUUUCGUUGUGCCUUGUGAAUUUUGAUGUUUGGGUGAGGGACAGUGGCUCUAUUUUGGAGUUUGGCUCCAUCUUGAAAGGAGCGACCCAGAUUGCCCAAUCUAUUUUAGGGAGGUGGCAUGACUUCUUAGAUAUUAGUUUUUAAUAUUCAGACUAAAACCUAGACUGGAUUUUUCACUUCAUGGACAUGGAAGCCACUGGUUCCUGCUGCUGAAAAUGUAGAUGCCCAACUGUCCCUGUCUAUCUAUUUCUUUACUGUUCAAAAAGAUUAAUCAUAGUAGUGUUUUUGGAUGGAUGUUUCUUCUUAUUCAGCAUCAACAUCAAUAAUUUAAACUGAACACAUGAUAGAAAAUUGAAGUGAUGCAGUUGUCAAUAUUGAAAUAACCGGCUUGCUUGAUUUCUGAAAAUACUAAUCAUAAUAAACAGUUUAAGAUAGAACUGAACUUAUAUUGGACUACAUUUUGAAAAUCUAGUUCAUAAUUCAUUGGUUUAGAACAUGGAAUUAAUUGGUAAUUACUGCCCCCACAUAUGUGGAAUAUUUGAAGGUCCUUCGUUUUCUCUAGGUCAGAUAAGUUCUGGAGAAGAACUCCUAAAUAAUGUUUUUGUACCUCAACCUCUCAUUUCAAUGGAUAUGAUCACUGAUAUCACUAGAAAGUGCUGGGGAAAGAGUGUGAAUCGCAUUGAGAGACACCAUCUGUGGGGGUGACAUAGAAAUGACUAUAAAAAUGUGCAGUGUUUUGCCAGAAAUGUCUUAUUUUAAAUAAAAAAUAUUCCUAGCACGGUGUCCCACCA